rnacentral:rRNA from 1 species
GACGAACGCUGGCGGCGUGCCUAAUACAUGCAAGUUGAGCGAUGAAGAUUGGUGCUUGCACCAAUUUGAAGAGCAGCGAACGGGUGAGUAACGCGUGGGGAAUCUGCCUUUGAGCGGGGGACAACAUUUGGAAACGAAUGCUAAUACCGCAUAACAACUUUAAACAUAAGUUUUAAGUUUGAAAGAUGCAAUUGCAUCACUCAAAGAUGAUCCCGCGUUGUAUUAGCUAGUUGGUGAGGUAAAGGCUCACCAAGGCGAUGAUACAUAGCCGACCUGAGAGGGUGAUCGGCCACAUUGGGACUGAGACACGGCCCAAACUCCUACGGGAGGCAGCAGUAGGGAAUCUUCGGAAAUGGACGAAAGUCUGACCGAGCAACGCCGCGUGAGUGAAGAAGGUUUUCGGAUCGUAAAACUCUGUUGGUAGAGAAGAACGUUGGUGAGAGUGGAAAGCUCAUCAAGUGACGGUAACUACCCAGAAAGGGACGGCUAACUACGUG